CAUAUCGACGCCUAUCCAUAGUCGAUCACCGUUCAGUAAGUCGAGUAUACACUUUGCGAAUUACAAGAUGAAGUUGGCGUUUCUGUUUGUACUUUUAUUGAGCGUGCUUCAAUACGCUCAUGCAGCAAUUUGUGCAAAAGAUUUGAGAAGCGGUGGCCCUCAAAACUUUAAUAGUGUUGCUGCCAUGAAUGCGGAAAACAGAAAAGGCGGACGAUACCAAUUCCAACACAAUGGGUAUUGUUAAGUAACAAGCGCGUCAAGAGAAUUUUGUCCGCAAGGUCAAAACGAUACCAAAAGUUUAUCGAUGUAACUGCAUAUUUGUAUCAAUAAACGGUAGUAAAAAUUGACCAACCUUUUUUUAUUUUACCCUCAUCGUUGCAUAUACCUAUAUUUAGACAGCUGUGAAGUAAGUUUACCAGUUACCGAUACGUUCAGACGCAAUUAUAUUAACCCUUUUAUAGGUAAUCAAAAAUUAUAAAUUGACGGCAGAAGCUGCGAAUCUCGAUGACUGUAAAACCAACUGCUUUAGAGGGUUGACACUAAAAUUUCAUUUUUUGGUCAUUUUAUAAUCAAGGGUUAAACGGAAACAAACAAUACAGGUCAAUAAUUGAAACACUUGCCUGAACGACGGGGAAUAUGAGAAUUCAGGGAACGAGCGACAGGAAGAAAACAUUAACGUCUUAUUGUUAAAGAAACUGACGUUCCAACCUAAAGUAUCGCGCAUAUUUCAUGUCAGCCCUGUUCUCGAUUUCUGAACAAUUCAGUGCUCCGGAAAUGAACACUUGGGGGAGCACAUAUGACUGAAGGGACAAUACUCGUUGCCGCAACACGCUUGUUGUAACCACAUAGAUCUGGUUUCUUGUUUUAACGUUGCGGACCAAAUUGUCAGAUAGAUGUUCAUAAAAUUUGCUACGAAGUUUGUAUGCAAAGAAUUGACGAGCUUAUCCCGUGAACACGUGAAAUGGAAAAACUGUUGCAUGUU